rnacentral:misc_RNA from 1 species
GAUGAAGAACGUAGCAAAAUGCGAUAAGUAAUGUGAAUUGCAGAAUUCAGUGAAUCAUCGAAUAUUUGAACGCACAUUGCGCCCGCCAGUAUUCUGGCGGGCAUGCCUGUUCGAGCGUCAUUUCAACCCUCAAGCACAGCUUGGUGUUGGGACUCGCGUUAAUUCGCGUUCCCCAAAUUGAUUGGCGGUCACGUCGAGCUUCCAUAGCGUAGUAGUAAAACCCUCGUUACUGGUAAUCGUCGCGGCCACGCCGUUAAACCCCAACUUCUGAAUGUUGACCUCGGAUCAGGUAGGAAUACCCGCUGAACUUAAGCAUAUCAAUAAGCGGAGGA